ACCUACGGGGGGCAGCAGUGAGGAAUAUUGGUCAAUGGGCGGAAGCCUGAACCAGCCAAGUCGCGUGAGGGAAUAAGGCCCUACGGGUCGUAAACCUCUUUUGCCGGGGAGCAAGGGCGGGGACGUGUCCCGGCCCGGAGAGUACCCGGAGAAAAAGCAUCGGCUAACUCCGUGCCAGCAGCCGCGGUAAUACGGAGGAUCCGAGCGUUAUCCGGAUUCAUUGGGUUUAAAGGGUGCGUAGGUUGUUUUAUAAGUUAGCGGUGAAAUACCGAUGCUCAACAUCGGGGCUGCCGCUCAUACUGUAG
rnacentral:rRNA from 1 species